GCCAAUGUGGCAUAGUGGUUUGUGUGCUGGACUGUGACUCUGGAGCCCAGAUUUCAAAUCUCUGCUCAGACA